rnacentral:rRNA from 1 species
GGGUUGUGAGGUUAAGUGACUAAGCGUACACGGUGGAUGCCUAGGCAGUCAGAGGCGAUGAAGGGCGUGCUAAUCUGCGAAAAGCGUCGGUAAGGUGAUAUGAACCGUUAUAACCGGCGAUACCCGAAUGGGGAAACCCAGUGUGUUUCGACACACUAUCAUGUCAUGAAUACAUAGUGGCAUGAGGCGAACCGGGGGAACUGAAACAUCUAAGUACCCCGAGGAAAAGAAAUCAACCGAGAUUCCCCCAGUAGCGGCGAGCGAACGGGGAGGAGCCCAGAACCUGAAUCGGCUUGUGUGUUAGUGGAAGCGUCUGGAAAGUCGCGCAGCAAAGGGUGAUAGCCCCGUACACUAAAAUGCACAGGUCGUGAGUUCGAUGAGUAGGGCGGGACACGUGACAUCCUGUCUGAAUAUGGGGGGACCAUCCUCCAAGGCUAAAUACUCCUGACUGACCGAUAGUGAACCAGUACCGUGAGGGAAAGGCGAAAAGAACCCCGGCGAGGGGAGUGAAAUAGAACCUGAAACCGUGUACGUACAAGCAGUGGGAGCACCUUCGUGGUGUGACUGCGUACCUUUUGUAUAAUGGGUCAGCGACUUAUAUUUUGUAGCAAGGUUAACCGUAUAGGGGAGCCGUAGGGAAACCGAGUCUUAACUGGGCGAAUAGUUGCAAGGUAUAGACCCGAAACCCGGUGAUCUAGCCAUGGGCAGGUUGAAGGUUGGGUAACACUAACUGGAGGACCGAACCGACUAAUGUUGAAAAAUUAGCGGAUGACUUGUGGCUGGGGGUGAAAGGCCAAUCAAACCGGGAGAUAGCUGGUUCUCCCCGAAAGCUAUUUAGGUAGCGCCUCGUGAACUCAUCUUCGGGGGUAGAGCACUGUUUCGGCUAGGGGGCCAUCCCGGCUUACCAAACCGAUGCAAACUCCGAAUACCGAAGAAUGUUAUCACGGGAGACACACGGCGGGUGCUAACGUCCGUCGUGAAGAGGGAAACAACCCAGACCGCCAGCUAAGGUCCCAAAGUCAUGGUUAAGUGGGAAACGAUGUGGGAAGGCAUAGACAGCCAGGAUGUUGGCUUAGAAGCAGCCAUCAUUUAAAGAAAGCGUAAUAGCUCACUGGUCGAGUCGGCCUGCGCGGAAGAUGUAACGGGGCUAAACCAUGCACCGAAGCUGCGGCAGCGACGCUUAGGCGUUGUUGGGUAGGGGAGCGUUCUGUAAGCCGUUGAAGGUGGCCUGUGAGGGUUGCUGGAGGUAUCAGAAGUGCGAAUGCUGACAUAAGUAACGAUAAAGCGGGUGAAAAGCCCGCUCGCCGGAAGACCAAGGGUUCCUGUCCAACGUUAAUCGGGGCAGGGUGAGUCGACCCCUAAGGCGAGGCUGAAAAGCGUAGUCGAUGGGAAACAGGUUAAUAUUCCUGUACUUGGUGUUACUGCGAAGGGGGGACGGAGAAGGCUAGGCUAGCCGGGCGACGGUUGUCCCGGUUUAAGCGUGUAGGGGGUGUGACCUGGUAAAUCCGGUUGCAUAUCAACCCUGAGGCGUGAUGACGAUGCACUACGGUGCAGAAGUAGUUGAUGCCCUGCUUCCAGGAAAAUCCUCUAAGCUCCAGGUAACAUUAAAUCGUACCCCAAACCGACACAGGUGGUCAGGUAGAGAAUACCAAGGCGCUUGAGAGAACUCGGGUGAAGGAACUAGGCAAAAUGGUGCCGUAACUUCGGGAGAAGGCACGCUGGCAUGUAGGUGAAGUCCCUUGCGGAUGGAGCUGAAGCCAGUCGAAGAUACCAGCUGGCUGCAACUGUUUAAUAAAAACACAGCACUGUGCAAACACGAAAGUGGACGUAUACGGUGUGACGCCUGCCCGGUGCUGGAAGGUUAAUUGAUGGGGUCAGCCGCAAGGCGAAGCUCUUGAUCGAAGCCCCAGUAAACGGCGGCCGUAACUAUAACGGUCCUAAGGUAGCGAAAUUCCUUGUCGGGUAAGUUCCGACCUGCACGAAUGGCGUAAUGAUGGCCAGGCUGUCUCCACCCGAGACUCAGUGAAAUUGAACUCGCUGUGAAGAUGCAGUGUACCCGCGGCAAGACGGAAAGACCCCGUGAACCUUUACUAUAGCUUGACACUGAACAUUGAGCCUUGAUGUGUAGGAUAGGUGGGAGGCUUUGAAGCGUGGACGCCAGUCUGCGUGGAGCCAUCCUUGAAAUACCACCCUUUAAUGUUUGAUGUUCUAACUCGGCCCCAUAAUCUGGGGUGAGGACAGUGUCUGGUGGGUAGUUUGACUGGGGCGGUCUCCUCCCAAAGAGUAACGGAGGAGCACGAAGGUUAGCUAAUCACGGUCGGACAUCGUGAGGUUAGUGCAAAGGCAUAAGCUAGCUUGACUGCGAGAGUGACGGCUCGAGCAGGUACGAAAGUAGGUCUUAGUGAUCCGGUGGUUCUGAAUGGAAGGGCCAUCGCUCAACGGAUAAAAGGUACUCCGGGGAUAACAGGCUGAUACCGCCCAAGAGUUCAUAUCGACGGCGGUGUUUGGCACCUCGAUGUCGGCUCAUCACAUCCUGGGGCUGAAGUAGGUCCCAAGGGUAUGGCUGUUCGCCAUUUAAAGUGGUACGCGAGCUGGGUUUAGAACGUCGUGAGACAGUUCGGUCCCUAUCUGCCGUGGGCGUUGGAAGAUUGAGAGGGGUUGCUCCUAGUACGAGAGGACCGGAGUGAACGCACCACUGGUGUUCGGGUUGUCAUGCCAAUGGCAUUGCCCGGUAGCUAAGUGCGGAAAAGAUAAGCGCUGAAAGCAUCUAAGCGCGAAACUUGCCUCAAGAUGAGUCUUCCCUGGGCCUUUAAGGCCCCUGAAGGAACGUUUAAGACUAAGACGUUGAUAGGCUGGGUGUGUAAGUGCAGCGAUGCAUUGAGCUAACCAGUACUAAUGAUCCGUGAGGCUUAACCUUACAACACCGAAGGUGUUU